GACGAACGCUGGCGGCGUGCUUAACACAUGCAAGUCGAACGGAAAGGCCCUGCUUUUGUGGGGUGCUCGAGUGGCGAACGGGUGGGUAACACGUGAGUAACCUGCCCUUGACUUUGGGAUAACUUCAGGAAACUGGGGCUAAUACCGGAUAGGAGCUCCUGCUGCAUGGUGGGGGUUGGAAAGUUUCGGCGGUUGGGGAUGGACUCGCGGCUCAUCAGCUUGUUGGUGGGGUAGUGGCUUACCAAGGCUUUGACGGGUAGCCGGCCUGAGAGGGUGACCGGCCACAUUGGGACUGAGAUACGGCCCAGACUCCUACGGGAGGCAGCAGUGGGGAAUAUUGCACAAUGGGCGGAAGCCUGAUGCAGCAACGCCGCGUGCGGGAUGACGGCCUUCGGGUUGUAAACCGCUUUCGCCUGUGACGAAGCGUGAGUGACGGUAAUGGGUAAAGAAGCACCAGCUAACUACGUG
rnacentral:rRNA from 1 species